UUGAUUUGGCAGCAUAUAUACUAAAAAUUGGAAUGAUACAGAGAAGAUUAGCAUAGUCCCUGUUCAAGGAUGGCAUGCAAAUUUGUGAAGCAUGCCAUAUUAAA